ACAUGCUUACAACAUAGCGUUGAUGCACUCGAUCCCUUUAGAUAUCCAUAGUGAAUCAAGAUCGGGCUAGAGUAGUACUGGGAUGGUGACUUCCCGAGAAUUUCUAGUAUUUUACAUGCC
rfam:Picea glauca, whole genome shotgun sequence.